rnacentral:rRNA from 1 species
UACGAAGGGGGCUAGCGUUGUUCGGAAUUACUGGGCGUAAAGCGCACGUAGGCGGAUCGAUCAGUCAGGGGUGAAAUCCCAGAGCUCAACUCUGGAACUGCCUUUUGAUACUGUCGGUCUAGAGUAUGGAAGAGGUGAGUGGAAUUCCGAGUGUAGAGGUGAAAUUCGUAGAUAUUCGGAAGAACACCAGUGGCGAAGGCGACUUACUGGGACACAUAUUUGA